rnacentral:lncRNA from 1 species
GGAAAAAUCAGAGGACUGGAAAGAACCCUGCGUUCAGGAUGAGGAAGCUUCAGAACACACAUUUCCCCUGCUAUCUGUAAGCAGAGCAUUCCAACGAAAACUUUCGUAAGCCGAAAUGGCAUAAAGCAAAGAAGCAAUUACCAUUAAUUCAUAUGGGAACAAUUUUUGAGUGUUCCCAGACCAAAAAAUAACCUACCAAAAUAAGUCGAGAUAAAGCUCAGAUGCUCACAGACACGGUUCAAAGCUAUGGUGGCUUGAUGCUGAGUUGCUGAGUGCAGUUCCUGGGGAAGGAUCUUGGCGGCACCACUCUUCCGGCUCCAGGUGCGCACUGCCUCUAUAGUGGCUCGUUGCAAAACAAAGGCUAAACGCUAUUUUCGCUUUUUGCAAAAGUGAAAAUCUUCUUUGGAUUUUUUUCGUUAGUGAAAGAAAAUUUUUUCGGAUAUUUUCUGUUAGUGAAAACAGGUACCAAUGUAGAUCUUUCGUAAAAGCAAAGUGGCAUAAAGCAAACUUUCAGGUGGCGGGGGAAACCUGCAUGGAGAUGAUGCCAUAAUGCCAGAUGUCAUGGGUUUCUGCAGCUGGUAUCAUCACAAUGUGCAAAAGACCAAAUUGGACAAGCCAUAUCUCAGUGCCUACUAAUUCAGCACAUUCAGAAAUCUGAGGGGCUGGCGGAUAGCGUAGUAGUUGGGUUUGUGUGUUCCACUUCCUAGCCUUGGUUUGCCGGUUCAGAUCCUGGGCAUGGACCUACACACUGCUCAUCAAGCCACGCUGAGGCUGCAUCCCACAUAGAAGAACUAGAAGGACUUACAACUAGGAUAUACAACUAAGUACUGGGGUUUUGAGAAGGAAAAAAAAAAGAGGAAGAUUGGCAACAUAUGUUAGCUCAGGGCCAAUCUUCAAAAAAAGCAAAGAAAUCUGAUAAGGCAGGUGACAUCUCAGCAAAGCCAGGGAGGAGACUAAAGCACAUCAUCUUACCGUGGGAGGAUAUACAUUUCCCUGCAUCCAGAUCUGAAGGCAGGGUGUAUGCAGACGGUGAGAAUCAGCACGGGAUGGGGGCCGGCAUGGCAUGUGGGCUACGUGGGAUUCCGAAGCACUCCAGCAGCUGACCAAGGACCAGGACAGGGACUGAUGGAGCUGCAGGAGAGAAGAGUACAGGGCACUUUGAGCAGCAAGUGACAGAAAAUCAACCCACACUAGGUUUAAAACAAGAGUGAUUUGUCUGAAGAACACAGAGGCAGCUCCAAAGACCGUCAGCAGGACCCAGAGCCAUUCUGGGGUCUCAGGGACUGGAACUAGGAAUCCAAACAUUGUCAGCAUAUUUUCUCUCUCUCCCUCCCCCCAUCCCUCCUCUGCUCCACUGAGGCUUCAUUCUCUUAAUAGAAGUGGACAUUCUUUGCCCAGCAGGACAAAGUGGCCUUCAGCAAGAGUUAAAGUCACAUCCUGAAAGAUUUGCAACCAGCGAUGUCUUUUCAUCUCUGAAUCUCAGUUGGAAAGAUCCUAGGGAAUGGCUCAGACUGUCUAGGUUUGACUCUUAUGCUCACCUCUUGGACUAUCACUGUGGUUAGGGAGUGGGCUCUCUGAUGACUGAGCCUGUGUCAUGUUUCCUUCUUUGGUCCAGAGUGAGCAGGUCUGUACCUGUGGUGGCUUAGCCCAGACAUGACCACUGGUACAUUUGUUUGUGUUGGCCAGCCCUUAGGACAGGUCCCUGACAGUCACCACCUUGGUCAUUCCUGGUACCCCACUGAGGAAAAGGUAUAGGCAGUUACCAUAAGAACUCCACCCUGGGGGUAUGUGUGUGACCAGGUGUAGUCAGACUGAGUAGGUUCAAAUGUCUGUUCCACCAAUUACUAGACAAACGAUCUUUCUAUGUUUCAGUUUCCUUGUUUAUAAAAUGAAAAUAAAAAUAGUACCAACUUCA